rnacentral:lncRNA from 1 species
CUGAAGGCCGCUGUGGGGACCUCAGCAGUGGCGGCUUUGCAGGAGGAGGAGGAGUGCCGACCGCCCACGAAGAGCCUCGCCUCGCCUCACGGCGCAGGCUAGGGUCGGUGCACAGUGGCCAGUUCCAGCCAGGCAAGCGGGGCUAGCCUAGGCAGAGUGGCCCGGACUCGGGGAGCCCCGCACGUGCGCUCGGGACAAAGGCGUGGCCGGGAAUAAAUGUUUUUUCCUUCUCUCUACCCUUUUGCAUUUCUUGAAACGUUCCCAGAUUUAACUGAGAGUCUGAGCUGGAGGAAUGGGGAGUGGAGGGAUGACAGUGAAGCAAAAGAAGACAAAGACCUGGGCCAAAGAAGUCCUGUGGAAAAGUGAUCCUUUGACAGGUAAAUAACGAAGAUUUAUUUGUAUCCUGCCAAGAAAAGAAAACAUUGCACUCUCUGUGAAACCAGGCAAAGGGAGAGACUUAAAUUAGAAGUCAUUCUCGGAAGCACUUGCAGAUGUGCAGAUUAAGAGAAAAAUAAUCCAGACAAAUAUGUAUGCGGUAUAUUUUACUCCCAUGAAAUAAAACACAUUUUUUCAUGUUUGCUGAAAAGUAA